AGAGUUUGAUCCUGGCUCAGGAUGAACGCUGGCGGCGUGCCUAACACAUGCAAGUCGCACGAGUGGAGUAAUCUGCUAGUGGCGCACGGGUGAGGAACACGUAGCUGACCUGCCCCAGAGAGCGGGAUAACGGGUCGAAAGACCUGCUAAUACGGCAUAAGCUCACGCUUCUCAGAAGGGUGUGAGAAAAGGCGUAAGCCGCUCUGGGAGGGGGCUGCGACCCAUCAGGUAGAUGGUGCGGUAACGGCGCACCAUGCCGACGACGGGUAACGGGUCUGAGAGGAUGAUCCGUCACACUGGGACUGAGACACGGCCCAGACUCCUACGGGAGGCAGCAGUGAGGAAUAUUGCACAAUGGGGGCAACCCUGAUGCAGCGACGCCGCGUGGGUGAUGAAGGCUUUCGGGUCGUAAAACCCUUUUCUGCGUGAAGAGCAAGGACGGUAGCGCAGAAUAAUU
rnacentral:rRNA from 1 species